GAUGAAGAACGCAGCGAAAUGCGAUAAGUAAUGUGAAUUGCAGAAUUCAGUGAAUCAUCGAAUCUUUGAACGCACAUUGCGCCCGCCAGUAUUCUGGCGGGCAUGCCUGUCCGAGCGUCAUUUCAACCAUCAAGCCCCGGGCUUGUGUUGGGGACCUGCGUCCGACGCAGGCCCUGAAAACCAGUGGCGGGCUCGCUGUCCACACCGAGCGUAGUAGCAUACAUCUCGCUCUGGGCGUGCUGCGGGUUCCGGCCGUUAAACCACCUUCAUAACCCAAGGUUGACCUCGGAUCAGGUAGGAAGACCCGCUGAACUUAAGCAUAUCAAUAAGCGGAGGA
rnacentral:misc_RNA from 1 species